UACGAGAGGUGCAAGCGUUAUUCGGAUUUAUUGGGCGUAAAGGGUGCGUAGGCGGCAUAUUAAGUCUGUUGUUAAAUUUCCCGGCCUAACUGGGAAUCGGCGGCGGAUACUGAUGUGCUAGAGGGUGGAAGAGAGAAGUGGAAUUCUUGGAGUAGCGGUAAAAUGCGUAGAUCUCAAGAGGAACACCGAUGGCGAAGGCAGCUUCUUGGUCCAUUUCUGACGCUAAUGCACGAAAGCGUGGGGAGCAAACAGG
rnacentral:rRNA from 1 species